GUCAGCACCCCGCUCUAAAGAGCAGGGGCCGAAGCGCCUCUCUCUUAGAUAGCUGACCAGCCUAAGUCUUGUUGGACUACGUUUUUAGAGUUAUGACACCUACAAAUGCUUUCCAGUUUGUAGCCCUGUC
rnacentral:sRNA from 16 species